rnacentral:misc_RNA from 1 species
AACGCACAUUGCGCCCCCUGGUAUUCCGGGGGGCAUGCCUGUUCGAGCGUCAUUACAACCCUCAAGCCCUGCUUGGUGUUGGGCCCUGCCGGUCCCGGCAGGCCCUAAAAUCAGUGGCGGUGCCAUUCGGCUUCAAGCGUAGUAACUCUUCUCGCUUCGGAGGCCCGGGUGCGUGCCUGCCAGAACCCCCAAUUUAUUCAGGUUGACCUCGGAUCAGGUAGGGAUACCCGCUGAACUUAA